rnacentral:rRNA from 1 species
GAGUUUGAUCGUGGCUCAGGACGAACGCUGGCGGCGCGCCUAACACAUGCAAGUCGAACGGAGUUGUGUUGAAAGCUUGCUGGAUAUACAACUUAGUGGCGGACGGGUGAGUAACACGUGAGUAACCUGCCUUUCAGAGUGGAAUAACGUUUGGAAACGAACGCUAAUACCGCAUAACAUGAGAGAACGGCAUCGUUCUUUUAUCAAAGAUUUUAUCGCUGAGAGAUGGGCUCGCGGCCGAUUAGGUAGUUGGUGAGAUAACAGCCCACCAAGCCGACGAUCGGUAGCCGGACUGAGAGGUUGAACGGCCACAUUGGGACUGAGACACGGCCCAGACUCCUACGGGAGGCAGCAGUGGGGGAUAUUGCACAAUGGAGGAAACUCUGAUGCAGCGACGCCGCGUGAGGGAAGACGGUCUUCGGAUUGUAAACCUCUGUCUUUAGGGACG